GAUGAACGCUGGCGGCGUGCCUAAUACAUGCAAGUCGAGCGAACGGACGAGAAGCUUGCCUCUCUGAUGUUAGCGGCGGACGGGUGAGUAACACGUGGAUAACCUACCUAUAGGACUGGGAUAACUUCGGGAAACCGGAGCUAAUACCGGAUAAUAUUUUGAACCGCAUGGUUCAAAAGUGAAAGACGGUCUUGCUGUCACUUAUAGAUGGAUCCGCGCUGCAUUAGCUAGUUGGUAAGGUAACGGCUUACCAAGGCAACGAUGCAUAGCCGACCUGAGAGGGUGAUCGGCCACACUGGAACUGAGACACGGUCCAGACUCCUACGGGAGGCAGCAGUAGGGAAUCUUCCGCAAUGGGCGAAAGCCUGACGGAGCAACGCCGCGUGAGUGAUGAAGGUCUUCGGAUCGUAAAACUCUGUUAUUAGGGAAGAACAUAUGUGUAAGUAACUGUGCACAUCUUGACGGUACCUAAUCAGAAAGCCACGGCUAACUACGUG
rnacentral:rRNA from 1 species